rnacentral:misc_RNA from 1 species
GUUUCAAAUAUGGGUUAUCUUCGUGGGAAGGAACCUGCACUGUCUACCUCUUCAUUGCCUGCUAGACCUUUGCAGCAUCUUAAUUCAUUCCCUUUGAGAGGAAAUAAUGAGUUAGCUAUGCGUGGAGGAGACUCAUGGGCAGCAGGUGCUCCUAGGAGGAACUCAACACCUUCAACAACACAAAAGCCAUUCAUUCCAUCAUACAGACUGUUUGAGGAUCUAAACGUUUUUGGCGGUACAGAUCCAAGAUUGAAGGUGACUAGCAGUAACGCAACUUCUAGCUUAGCCGGAAGUUCUGGCCAAAGUAUGGUGGGUGGGAGAAAGUGAAAAUAGUCAGCUCAUUAGCUGAAGAAAUUCUCCAUGUCAAUAUAAAAGUAUCUUUUUCAUCUUUGUGAUGUAUUUAAAACAGAUUGGCAG